UUUUGGCUGCUGAGAAUGGAGAAGACUGCUGGGAAGGGACCAAGGCUUUACUAGAGCUGUUGGUGAUGUCCGGCUACUGAGUCUUAAAAAAGAAGGCACAGAUCUGCCAAGAGGAGGUCAAUGUUGCCCCUGGACAUAAAGAAAAACCUCCAAGAAUCCAGUUAAAAGGCACUCUACCCUUUGAACAUUUAGAAGUGGACUUUACUAAGAUGAAACCCUGCUGAUACUAUCAUUAUUUACCGGUCAUGGUAUGUACCUUCUCAGGAUGGUUGGAAGCCUUCCCCACCUGAACGGAAAAAGCAAAGAAACUGGCUCAGUGUCUGCUUUGAGAAUUAGUCCCCAGAUUCGGGUUCCCAACCAGUACAGGAUCAGACAACAGCCAUGCAUUUGUAGCUGACUUAAUUCAACAGCAGUUAAAUGUGCAGGUGUCACUCCCCGGAUCCACCACACGAGCGUGAAAAGAGCAUACCACGCAGACCCAGAGGACGCCGAAUGGACUACACAGAAGGACCCCACUGAUCCCUGUGAAACCAAGAUCAUCGUAAAGAAAAAGAAGAGACAAAGCUCUACCAUCAACUGCUGCUUCAAGGACUUGCCGGUAUUCUCUUGAGACUAGCUAUAGUUUCAGCACAAGACAACGUUUUCAUUUCAUGGGUACAUUCUUAUGCUGACUUCCAUAAAAAAACUAACUGCUAGGUGUGCGGAGCCAUGCCCACGUCUGUCAUGGGUGGAUUCCCGUGUUGGGUAUCACCUCUAAGGAGUGGUGAUGUGCCUAGUUUAUGUGAUUUUUUGCAUCAGGCAGAACAACAAAAAUCGAGUAUAGAAACUGUAAUCACAGCAGCCAUUACCCAUUGGUGCGAUAAAAAGGCCGACGAUCUGACAAAUGGCCAUAGGAUACAUUUUAAUUAUACUCUUAGCUCAGAAAAUGCUUAUCAAUAUUAUGUGACAGCCGAUAAGUCCAAACAAUCAGAAAUUAACUGAUAUUUUGACCAAUUUUACCAGAUGUGGGAUGAAUACAUGUGGAUUACUCCAGAAAAGGGACAAGUUGUUAGGAUAGCUGUAAUUUGCUGGGAACAAAAUGUAAACAGUUUUGGAUAUAAUAACUGAAUGAUAGAUAAAAAGAAUUUAAAACCAAUGGGCUUUCUUCUGACAGAAGAGCACUGUAAGACCUAUAAAGUUACUUAAGAUCCCAGUCAAUCCUCCGGUGGCCAGGGACAGACUGGGGAUUCAAUCCCAGAAUCAGGUGGAUUGCUCCUAAUGGCACCCAUUGGUUAUGUGGGACUAACUUACAGCCUUGGCUGCCCCCAGGAUGGAUAGGGAGGUGUACUUCAGGUCUGGUCUUUGCCCAUGGAAACAUCAGGUCAACAAUACAAGAGUAUUUAAACUUACCCUCCCUAUGAGCCAGAUGAUCACAAUCAGUUUUCCAUUGGUAUGAUUAUUUGGCUGCUAUAUUUGUUCCCUCAUUGGGCACUAUGGACAUAAUGAUUAGAGUUGAAACUCUAACUGAUUUCACCCAAAGAACCUAAAUGACAGCCUAAGAGCUAUUCAAGCACUAAAUACUGAACAAAUACAAAUAAGAAAAGCGGUAAUUCAAAAUAGAAUGGCUUUAGACAUACUUAGAGCCGCUCAAGGAGUGACCUGUGCUAUAAUCAAAGCUGAAUGUUGUGUAUAUAUUUCUGAUUAUUCUGGCAGUAUAUCAGCCACUCUAGAUGGCAUGAAAGAUCAAGUAAAAUCUAUGUAUGAUGACAAUCUUCCUUUUUGGACUUCUGUUCUAUCAUGCGUAAAGUGUGAUUGGUGGAAAACUAUAUUAAACAUUGUUAUAGUUGUUCUGUUGUUUCUGUUAUGUGGACCUUGUAUUCUCAAUGUGUUGUUAAUUUUGUAUCACAGAGGCUGACUUCAUUUACCCAAAUAUAUACCAGGAAACCUAAAAUGCAGUACAUCCCAAUGAGUGAUGUUCAGACUGGAAGUUGAGAGCAUCAAGAGGGGGGAAUGAAGGAGGAAAUGAACAGGCCAAGCUGACUCCAUUUUGCAAAAGAAGGAAACUCCAUCUUACAUUCCCAGUGAACUUUGGACUAUACGCCUGCUCGCAUUUUCAGUGAACUUUGGACUAUGCGCCUAGUAGCCAUGGAAAUAACAUACCUAUGGCCAAACAGGCCUCUUGAACUGACAAGCACCAGAUUCCAUGCCAAGAUUUCUCAUCGCCAGAAAGAAUGGAAUAAUCCCUGUGUAGUAAAUCACCUUUGUAAUCUUGAUGGUGCCCAUCGGUGUACGCUACAAUGUAUAACCAACUGACCCUUCUGAUUAUGAAUCAUGGCUGUAACCUGAUUGCAUCUCCCCUAAACAUUUCCCAGGCUAGGUUUAAAGAAUUUGGGGAUGGGGGCUUGAGCAUGUACAGUUAAGGUAUAUAAAGUUUUCACAAAAGUUGGUUAGAGUCCCUGGCUAAAGAGGAAGCUCUGCCUCGGACCCACGAGUGUAAUAAACUGCACUCCACUAUCCAUGCUGUGCUGAGUGAGUUUGCUUCCUGGAGCGUUUGGCUAUAACGAUCCCAUGUUUUUAUUUUUUAA